rnacentral:lncRNA from 1 species
AAGACAUUUUUAUGCAGUUAAGCUGCAUUAUGCGAGCACCCUAGAUUUGUGUUCUACCCAAUAAAUGCUGAAAUACUUGCCAUUGUUAUUAUCUAGCUCGCUACUAUGUUAUAUAUAACUAAUUGAACACUUUUUUAAUACUUUUUAUUCUGGAUUACAAAAAAUAUGACCAGAAAAACCUUAAAUGAUCGUCGAUUUAUCCAAAAGUUUUGAAGUUACACAUAGGAAGUAGUGCUUAUUAAGAAUCCUUGUGUAGUUCAUUAUGACUUGUGCUUUUAGCUAAGAUGUCAAAGAACAAUUGUAUGAAAUAUUUAAUCGCCGAAAAUCUCUUAAGACAAGUAGUUUAGAUUUCCCAAAUGGCAAAAGUCGUAGGGAUAUUGUUUGUCAUCAAUACGUAGUACAAUUACGUCAGUAGUCUAUUAUAUAAUAAGUUCAACUGUUCAUGCUGUUGGCGGCAAUUUCAAAUUAGAAAAAAGAAAUUUUCGUAGCUUUUCAAUUUGGAGGCAGGUGUGCAAAUUAGCGGUGGUCCGAGGUCCGCGACCUUCCACUUUUGCAAGCGGAAUUUCGACUAGGAUAGUUGGUUUUCUAGCUACGCCCGACGUAGUCACCUUCCACUUGAAAGAAAAUAAGAAAUUACUUUGCAAACCUUCCAUGCAAGUCACCAAAGUCUCCAAUUAAACGAGCUAAAAACUUAUUUUUAUCAUUAUUAUUCAUGACAGCGAUGUUCAUUUUGUUCAACCGCUAGCUUUAUACAGAAAAUCGCCGACAAAUAUUGUAUAAAUUCGAGUAAAAAUCGUAUCUGAUUGACAAAAACAACAUUGUAAACACAUAACAAUGGCGGCCGUGAAGACAAAAUUUUACAAUAUCGGAUCCGAUUCCGGAAGCGGAUAAGGAUAAUUCCGGGUUUGGCGAUCAAUUACAAAAUAAAUCAAAGCAGGUGAAAAAAUAAAUCUAUGCAUGGUAAAUGAAUAUAAACACUAGAAUUGUAAACCAAAAGAUAUAUGUAAAAGAAAGAAAAAGCAGAAAAAUAUUUUAUACAGAAACUCAAAAUUACUUUUUGACAAAUUUUAAUUUAAAAAUCCAAUACAACGUGACAGCUGGGAACAGUAUAUCUAACAAUAUACAUGUUCAUGGUCACAGUCUAAAUUUUCUUUAUCAGUGAUAAAUGAUGAUAAUGCAUGUGAGAUGCUUUUAAAGUGUAAACAUAUUACUGCAAUUUCGAAGGGUUAUUUGUUUUUCUCAAUUUUGAAGGGUCAAUUAAAGUAGCUGAAAGUUUCUUUCUUUAUUUUCACAAAUAAUGCAACUAUAUUAUAUAUACCUAAAUGUAAGUAAAUCAUAUGAUAUAUAGGUGGCAUUCUUUGGGCCACUCUACCCCUCCUGUUUGAUAACUUGGAAACGGUCGAGCUCCCACCCCUAAACCAUAUGAGGGGCAGAUCCAGGAUUUUAGGUUAGGAGGGGCACAAACUUAAAUUUUCGCCGAGCAGAGCGAGGCUAAAAAAAAUUUGAGGUAAAAUUAUCGGAAUAUUCUUUAUUAAGCUGAGAACAACCCAUGCUUUGCAAAUUUAAGGGGGGUGCAAGCCCGCAACACCACCCCCCCCUGAAUCCGCCCCUGCAUAUAUUCAAGUAUAGGACAAUAUAAUAAAUAAAAUGAAAUAUAGGGGGAGUCCCUGGAGUUACCCACCCCCUCCUGUUUGAGAACUUGGAAACGGUCGAGAUCCACACCCCUUAACCAUAUAUAUUCAUGUUUGUGACAA